AAUGAACGUUGGCGGCGUGGAUUAGGCAUGCGAGUCGCGCGAGAAUGUAGCGAUACAGGAAAGCGGCGAAAGGGAGAGGACAACAUGGGAAUCUGCCCGGGGGUCGGGGAUAGCUACGGGAAACUGUAGGUAAUACCCGAUAAUGUUUACGGACCAAAGGUUUACUGCCCCUGGAUGAGCCCAUGCCCCAUUAGCUUGUUGGCGGUGUAAUAGACCACCAAGGCGAUGAUGGGUAGCUGGUGUGAGAGCACGACCAGCCUCACUGGCACUGAGACACUGGCCAGACACCUACGGGUGGCUG
rnacentral:rRNA from 1 species